UUCGGUGAUGUAGUGGUAGCACGCGCUUCUGGUAUGGGUGAAACGCGGGUUCAACCCCCGCAUAGGGUCGAAU